GGGCUGGAGGGGUGUAGAGGGGCCAGGCCCUUAGCCUCUUUCCCCUUAGCAGAGUGAGGAGUUCUACUGGUCUCUUCAGGGAAGUCCUGUCCAUCACUACUGGCACAUCACACUCUCCUAGAAGUAUGAUCUUCAUUCCCUUCCUUCCACCUCCUGACCUAAAUGGGAAAGACACCAAGGAAUGUGGUUUUUGGUCUGACACUACAGAGGAUACAUCCAAUGGCACAGGCUCACCUAGAGAGCCUGCUAGUCCCUAAGGGUCUUGAAGGAGCUGGUUCCAGAGUACCCUGCCAUGUUUCACCAGGUCCUUCAGGGAAGGAUACCAGACAUUCGGAAACUGAGACCACGGGGUCCACAGAGACAGACCCAUAAAUGGUGAUCGAGCCCCCUUCUGCUGCCACAUGCUCCCUGCUUUCUCCAGUUUCUUGGUCACUGGGCCUGAAAUAAAUGCUGG